rnacentral:rRNA from 1 species
GACGAACGCUGGCGGCGUGCUUAACACAUGCAAGUCGAGCGGUAAGGCCUUUCGGGGUACACGAGCGGCGAACGGGUGAGUAACACGUGGGUGAUCUGCCCUGCACUCUGGGAUAAGCCUGGGAAACUGGGUCUAAUACUGGAUAUGACCUCAGCAUGCAUGUGCUGGGGUGGAAAGCUUUUGUGGUGCAGGAUGGGCCCGCGGCCUAUCAGCUUGUUGGUGGGGUAAUGGCCUACCAAGGCGACGACGGGUAGCCGACCUGAGAGGGUGACCGGGCACCCGGGGACUGAGACACGGCCCAGACUCCUACGGGAGGCAGGAGUGGGGAAUAUUGCACAAUGGGCGGAAGCCUGAUGCAGCGACGCCGCGUGAGGGAUGAAGGCCUUCGGGUUGUAAACCUCUUUCAGCAGGGACGAAGCGUGAGUGACGGUACCUGCAGAAGAAGCACCGGCUAACUACGUGCCAGCAGCCGCCGUAA